UUGAGCUGCAACUUUUGGAUUUUUGACUUAAAGUAGAAAAGUAAAAGAAAAGUAAAGUAUAUAACUAGGUAAUAUAUUCAGCGCAGGACAUCCCCACACAAUUAAUUAUUAACUUUACCCAAUAGACUAGAUCAAUUUUCUAUACGUAGAUGUAGUAUUACCUACACUACAACUGGUGGCGGGGUAACUCAGCGCCUGCCCGUUAAACAAGAGAAGAAGAAACUGGGCAAACAUGGCAGCGUGCAUGAGAAGCGUGAUAUGUCUUGUUUCCAUUGAGCGAAACGCUUUUCUAACAAGGGGAAGCAGCAUUGUUGUGCAGUCUAAACGGUAUGUACGCGGACUGAGGAGGAAGCCUGUCAGAGUGCUGUUUCCUGAAAACGAGACGGAUAAAGUCCUCAAGCCGACGCCACAGUCUGAGUCAGCAGGGCAAAAAAUCAACAGGGAGACGGAGGCUCAAUUCACAUCUACAACUAGGCAUCUUGAAGAAAGUGACUUUGUCAAUACGAGGAGUAAUGUGCAGUCAACUCUAAAACAUGCUCACGUUACAAAGGAUCAGAUUGAUGGACUGCGCUUCGAGAGGGCUUUACCUGGAGAUAAAAGACUGGCGAGGUUAGUGAGUGUUGCUCGUUCCAGGACGUUUCGGGAGCACCAGGGUAAAAUCCUCCUGGAGGGCAGGCGUUUGAUCUGUGACGCCCUGGACGCAGGAGCCAACCCACAGAUGGUGUUCUUCAGUACGGUGGAUCGGCUCAGAGAGCUGCCUUUAAACAAGCUGAAAAGGGCCACGCUAGUCAAAGUCAAGUUUGAGGACAUCAAGAUCUGGUCUGACCUUGUGGCCCCACAAGGGGUGAUCGCCAUAUUUUCUCGCCCGGACCCGUCACGGUUGAACUUCGCAAACAGAGGUCAUUCACUGCCGUUGUCCCUGAUAUGCGACAACAUCCGAGACCCUGGCAACCUUGGGACCAUGUUGCGAUGUGCUGCUGCUGCUGGCUGUAAUGAUGUACUACUCACCAAAGGUUGUGUUGAUGCUUGGGAGCCUAAAGUUCUGCGUGCAGCAAUGGGCGCCCAUUUCCGCCUUCCCAUCUAUCCAAGCUUGGGCUGGGAUGAUAUCAAAAAUCAUCUCCCUAAACCUGUGACUGUCCAUGUGGCUGACAGCAGCUGUGGCACUGACAGAAGCAGAGAAACGGAGGAUUCACAAGUUAAUGUGUCUCAUAAAUCCUCCAAAGCAAGUGACUAUGGCUGGGUCAGCACAAAGCCUAAUCACAAUAACAUGCGCUACGUGGAAUAUGAUUCUGACUCUGGCUCAGAUAGUGAAUAUGAGGGACUUGAACUUCCCAGAGUGGACACAAAGCUGUACCAUGACAGCUGGGCUCGGAAUGCCACUGCUCUUGUGAUAGGUGGAGAGACACAGGGCCUGAGUCUAGAAGCAGCCCAGUUGGCUGAGAAAACCGCUGGCCACAGGCUCUUUAUUCCGGUCGUUCCUGAUGUAGACAGCUUGAAUUCAGCCAUGGCAGCCAGUAUCCUUUUGUUUGAGGGCAGGAAACAACUGUUAAAACUAAAGCAGAUACCGGGCAGAUAAUGUAAAGCUGAACAGCAGUUUUCAUGAUGUUCGCUCUAAAUAGCAUUAUGUGACUUCUGGUGUACAUCAUUCCUUAUUACUGCAGACCAAACAGAAUAAUUUUAAUUUAAUUAUUUCCAUCCUGCACCUUGUUCUGCUAACAAUAAAAUACUGAAUUUGAAUCAGGGGAAUUAUUUUUAAUAUCAAUUAAUCUUCUGAUUAUCUUGAUUAAGCGUCUUGUCUACAAGAUGUCAGAAAAUAGUAAAGAAACUGGUCAUUAGAAUUUCCCAGAGCCCAGGGAUCUUCAAAUUCCUUGUUUUAUCCAAUUAUUAGCUCAAAAACAGAAGAUUUUCAGUGAACUGCCAAAGAUGACAAUUUAGAACAACAAACAAACAUCUGUCAUAGGUGUUACUUUCUAGCCAUGGUAUCGUCCCAUUUAACAAAAAUACAAAGCACAUAUCCCUUGCUUUUUUUACCCAUCCUUCCCUUUUCAUAGAGUCCAUAAGAGCCUUAAAUAGAUGCCCACACAUGAUGCAUGAUUAUUAUAGAAAGAACUCACUGUGACAGUGUCAUGUCUAUCCUUUACUCUGUAUCUGCUGCCACAUUGUCUAUGCAAAUAUGCAGAACUCACUACACUUCCAUCCCACCUGGAGUCAAUCUGCAUACUGUCUCCCGUAAUAAAUGCAACAUUUGCCUUGAGUUUA